rnacentral:pre_miRNA from 2 species
GAUUUCAACUGAAAAAGUCAUCAACAACAAAGUUGUAUAACUCAUCAAGAUCUAUAACUUUUAUUUUGGUCAUUUCUUCAUCCGACAAAGUGAUAAUAACAUUGUUCACAAAAUUUGCAUCUAUCUCAUAUGUAAACUUUGUGAACAAUAUUAUUAUCAAUUUAUUAGAUGAAGAAAUGACUAAAAUAAAAGUUGUAUGUCUUGAUGAGCUCUGCAACUUUCAUGUUCAUGACUUUUUCAGCUGAAAUU